rnacentral:lncRNA from 1 species
GAUUUCUCAUAAAGAUGUAAAUGAAUCUUUUGUUUACUAGGUUUACAAAAGAUUAGUGGGAGUUAAUCACAUUCCUAAAUUUGUAUAUAUAUAUAAAUAUAUAUGUGAUAUAUAUGAAUAUAUAUAUGAUAUAUUAAUUUUGGAAAUGAAAAGAAUAUUUCUUCGUUAAAGUUAUGACUUUAAGCAUUCUAUAACGAUAGAAUGUAUAUGGGAGACAUUGUCUAUAUACAUGGGAUGGAAAUCUAUAUUGAUAGAUUUCAAGAUAUAAUUUGAUUAUAUAAAUCCCUAAUAAUAGACAAAAGAUGCUAGGAAGUUUCUCAUAUGAUGAUAAACUUUAAUCAGAAGAACAACUCUAGUGAGACUAGGAGGUAGCUCUUCUCAAAGGGAACGUACCCUUUAACUCCCAAAGAAAUAAUGCGUAAAU